GAAAUGCGAUAAGUAAUGUGAAUUGCAGAAUUCAGUGAAUCAUCGAAUCUUUGAACGCACAUUGCGCCCGCCAGUAUUCUGGCGGGCAUGCCUGUUCGAGCGUCAUUACAACCCUCAGGCCCCCGGGCCUGGCGUUGGGGAUCGGCGGAAGCCCCCUGCGGGCACAACGCCGUCCCCCAAAUACAGUGGCGGUCCCGCCGCAGCUUCCAUUGCGUAGUAGCUAACACCUCGCAACUGGAGAGCGGCGCGGCCACGCCGUAAAACACCCAACUUCUGAAUGUUGACCUCGAAUCAGGUAGGAAUACCCGCUGAACUUAAGCAUAUCAAUAAGCGGAGGA
rnacentral:misc_RNA from 1 species